CGGGUGAAGGUUGUAGUUGUUGAAAAAUUACAUAUCAGAGAAGUAGAAUUGAAAAUGUCUUGUCCUCGUUGAAGGUUUGUUCGGCGUGAUAAAACAUUUGAUUGUGACACAAGUUGUUUGUCACUCAUUAUUCAAAGAAUGCUCUUUUAGCACCUCGUUUUUGAAAGGUUGUUGUGUUAUCCCCAUCACCGAUACAUCAGAGGAAUGGAACAUAUUGAUGAAGAGGUAGAUGCAAAUGAUGAAAAUGGAAUAAAUGAAAGGGGUUUCAGUUGAAUUGAAUGAGACACGAGAUGAAUUUGAAGAGAUUGAAGAUUGUGGUGAAGAGGAUGAUGAUUGUGGUUGUUCUAAAUCUGAAUCUAAAGAUGAUACCUUGUUGGUUGACAACUUAGAAGGCAAUUUUUGCGAAGAAAGUGGUGAACCUAUUCCAAUUAUUAUAAAUGGUUUGGUGGAAAUUGUAAGCAUAAUAUGAGAUGUAUUACUAUGGAUGAAGUCAACAGGUAUUUAUUCGGUGAUCUUGAAGCAGUGCACUUGUUCUAUUAUUGGUAUGCAAGGAUUAAUGGAUUUUGGUGUAAGGAGGAGCAAAGUUGUGAGAAAUUCUAAGGGUGAAAAAACAUAGCAGACAUUUGUGUGUUCUAGACAAGGUGUUCAUAAGGAUAGGAGGUUGACUGCAAAAACUAGGAAGCAUGAGCCAAGAAAUGAUAUAAGAUGCAAGUGUUUGGCUAAAUUUGUUCAUGUCAAGAAGAAUCAUGGUAGGCGGGGAGUUAAGGAGUUCACUAAUGACCACAAACAUGAGUUGUUAGAAAAAGAUUAUUGUUCUCUUGUACCAUCCCACAAGAAGAUGACACCAGGUGAUGUAUUGAAAAUUAAGAAUCUAAGAAAAACUGACAUAAUGACUCCUCAAAUAUUUGGUUCUUUAGCCAACAUUUCUGGUGGAUAUGACACGGUUGGUUUUUGAACCAAAGACCUUCACAACCAUCUAGCUAGACAAAGAAGACAAAAGUUUUCAAAUGCUACUAGAGCUUUAAAAUUCCUGGUGGAUAUGUUUGUUUGUGAUGAAACUGAGCAAACGUAUGUGUGGUUGUUGGAGCAAUUUAUCGAUACAAUGAAAGGGAAGGCACUAGUGUUCAUAAUAACUGAUGGGGAUUUGGCUAUGAAAAAUGCAAUUGAGGUAGUUUUCCUAGUGCAAAUCAUAAGCUAUGCACAUGGCUCCUAAUUCGUAAUGCCAAUUCUAAUGUGCAUAUUCCUGAAUUCAUGAAAGCCUUUAAGAGAUGCAUGUUAGGUGAUUUUGAUGCGAAAAAUUUGAAUAGUUGUGGGCUUCAACGGUAAAAGAGUUUGGACUUCAAGACAAUAGGUGGAUAAAAGAUAUGAAUAACAUGAAGUUUAUGUGAGCCACUUCUAUAAUCAGAGGCAACUUUUUUGUAGGCAUAAGGACUACCUCAUGGUGUGAAGGAUUUCAUGAUCACCUUGGAAAAAUUUGUCAGCUCAAAGAUAGGAUUGUCAGAGUUUGUAGAACAAUUUCACGGGCGUCUUUCUUAUUUUCGCUUUAAGGAACCUGAAGCAGAUUUUGACUUAAACUCUGCUCUGUGACUUUACAAACAAGUGUGCGGAAACUUGAGAGCUCAUUUGCUAGUCAAUUUAUUAAGAAAAGUUUUCUUUUGUUAAGACCUAUUUUGGCAUGAGCUCCAUCAUUGAUGAGGGUUAAAGAUUGUCAUGAGACCCCGAUGUACAACAUAUAUUCUGUUUCUAUGUAGUGUAAUAGUGGUUUAACACUUGCAAUCCCAAUAUUAAUAGUAUUUAA